GGAAGCGGGUCAGGGUCUGCAAGCCAACGGCCCAGCUCAGCGGACUGGUCCGGCUGCUCAGCUAGGCAGCCAGCGUCCGUGCCCGCAACGCGGUUGCCUUCCCCUGGGCUGGAGAGUGGGGACGUCCCUCCCCCGCCCCCAGGCGUCCCUAGGGUCGGCGCCAGAGCCCUGGAGCCCCGGAGACUUUCUCUGGAGGAAGGCGAGGCGGGCUCUGGGUCCUCUCCCAGCCAGGCCGAGCUUAGCAUGUGGAGGUGGCGCGGGAGCGCGGGCAUGGACCAAGGGAAGGGGGACCCCCAAACCGCACUGGUGCUUUCCUUUCCCUCCACUCGCGCCGUAGCCCUCCCCAAAUUGCCCGUCUCCGGUAGGACUGACUCUGCCUGCCUGGCCUCUCAGCUACCAACUUUGCCCGAAAUCUAGAUCCCAGACCUGACCGACAUCAAGCAAGCAAACAUUUCUUCAACUCACAAGAGACAUCAGUUCAGGUCACAGAUACUUUUGCCAGAAAUGUAUGUAUAUAUUUAAAACAUUUAGAUCACUGCUAUGAAACCCACUGUACCGUUUUGAUCCUUUUAUGCUAAAGAUUUUUGUUGUUGCUGUUGUUUUGAGACAGAGUCUUGCUCUGCCAUCCAGGCUGGACUGCAGUAGUGCAGUCAUAGCUUACUGUAGCGCGGACUUCAUAGGGCCAACUAAUCCUCUCACCUCAGCCUCCCAAGUAGGUGGGACUAAAGAAUGGAGCAGUCUCUCCCUAACCUCCCACAUUGCACAGCUGCUGAUGAGCCUUGUAAUUAAUGAAAAUUUGCCAACAGUUGCACACUCAUUGACGUUCUGA
rnacentral:lncRNA from 1 species